CUUUGAGUCGCCUUCAUGCCUCAGCAACCCGGGAGAACGAAACAGCACCAGAACUGGACAAAAGUGGUCCAUAAAUGGCAUCAGAAGAGAGACGCUGCUCACAAGUCUCCAGAAUCCUCCAUCUAAUGACUCACUACAGGUCACUUCCACCGCGCGAUCAAUCAAGGGCGUCAAUGAUGCCCCCCGCGGGCCGCUAUGAAGUGCAAGACGCCGAGCGUUCGAUCGGCGGCGGCCAGCCACCUUGCCGACUUUCGCCAUAAUAUCGUGAUUGAUUCAUCUUCAAAGAUAUCUUAAGUGGAUGGGCUGGUUUUUUUUUUUUUUUUGGUCUACUGCAGUCUUUUUCAUUACCCCCGCUCGCCAUCCUUUAAAACUGCAACACGCAUCAAAACUGGAGGUAAAUACACUGCUUUUGCUUUUCUUUUAUUUAUUUGAUUUAUUCCUCUGCUUUCAACUUUGAAAGACAAUAAAGUAGAAAGGAAGUGUGCUCUUUGAACACCGAUUGGGUUUCACCACUACAAAGUAGAAAGAAGAUAACAAUGGAAAAGAUUCAUCUGCUAAUAAACGGACUUUUGUGCUGGCCGUAUUCUUGUUCUCUUGUUAAAAAAAAAGAAAAAAGACCAAACCAACUACAUUAAAUAGAAUGGAAGAUCUAAGGUCCAUCACAUAAUGGACGCCUGUCACCCUCAUAUUUGUUGGUUUAAAAAGAAAAUAUAUGCACAGCAAAUUUCAAUAAAAUUAUC